GUAAGUAUUAACAAAAUGUCAAGCAAUUAUUGCAAAACUAGCCUUGGAAUUUUGAGGAUCAAAGAAAUGUGUUAACUAGAGGUGUACCUAAAUGUAUACUAGUCAGUCUUUGUGUUCACAGACCAGGGAGGAUUCCAUGAAUUUCCAUGAGAGCUUCCUUGAUUCAUGACUUUAUGAUAUUCCAUGUACAUGUUGAUGAAUAUACAAUAUUUCUUAAUUGCCACUAUUUUCUCCUGUCUCUUCAUGGAGCACCAGCACAUGAAAGAAGGACAUACAUGAAGAAAUGAAUGCACUUAGAUGCCUCUCUACUCUUGGCUUUUUUCAUGAGCUCAGUCAACUUUCAAUACUUGAAUGCCUGUGAAUGUGAUAGUAAAAAAUCCUAAGUGUAUAUUUAGGAUCAUAGUCAAGUGUUGCUAUUCCAUACUCACCAGAUCUCAUGGAUGGGACUAUCCAUUCGAUGAAAGGAAAUCGUAUGUAAGUAGGUGCUCGUUGACUUUUGUCAACAUCACCUUCAUUUUGUAUUAAGUCCACUAUCUCCUGAGUCCAUGUUGUUCCUUAUUCCACAUGUAAGAUGAAGAUGCACAGACAUUUAGUAUACUACAUUUCUUAAAGAUUUUUUUACAUUUAUUUAUUUUUGAGAGACAGGGAGAGACAGAACACAAGUAGGGGAAGGGCA